UCCCUAUGGGGUGCACCAGGCGCGAAAACUUUACAAUGCGGGAAACCGCGAUAAGGGGAUACUGAGUGCCAGCAUCUUAUGUUGGCUGUCCACCUGUAUAAACAGCAGGUGUUAGCAAGGGCCGGGCAAGACCGGUGCCAGCCGCCGCGGUAACACCGGCGGCCCGAGUGGUGACCACUAUUAUUGGGUCUAAAGGGUCCGUAGCCGGUUUGAUCAGUCUUCCGGGAAAUCUGACAGCUCAACUGUUAGGCUUCCGGGGGAUACUGUCAGACUUGGGACCGGGAGAGGUAAGAGGUACUACAGGGGUAGGAGUGAAAUCUUGUAAUCCUUGUGGGACCACCAGUGGCGAAGGCGUCUUACCAGAACGGGUCCGACGGUGAGGGACGAAAGCUGGGGGCACGAACCGGAUUAGAUACCCGGGUAGUCCCAGCUGUAAACGAUGCUCGCUAGGUGUCUGGGACGGUGCGACCGUUUCAGGUGCCGCAGGGAAGCCGUGAAGCGAGCCACCUGGGAAGUACGGCCGCAAGGCUGAAACUUAAAGGAAUUGGCGGGGGAGCACUACAACGGGUGGAGCCUGCGGUUUAAUUGGAUUCAACGCCGGAA
rnacentral:rRNA from 1 species